rnacentral:rRNA from 1 species
AGUGAACGCUGGCGGUAGGCCUAACACAUGCAAGUCGAACGGCAGCACAGUAAGAGCUUGCUCUUACGGGUGGCGAGUGGCGGACGGGUGCGGAAUACAUCGGAAUCUACUUUUUCGUGGGGGAUAACGUAGGGAAACAUACGGUAAUACCGCAUACGAACUACGGGUGAAAGCAGGGGAUCUUCGGACAUCGCGCGAUUGAAUGAGCCGAUGUCGUAUUAGCUAGUUGGCGGGGUAAAGGCCCACCAAGGCGACGAUCCGUAGCUGGUCUGAGAGGAUGAUCAGCCACACUGGAACUGAGACACGGUCCAGACUCCUACGGGAGGCAGCAGUGGGGAAUAUUGGACAAUGGGCGCAAGCCUGAUCCAGCCAUGCCGCGUGUGUGAAGAAGGCCUUCGGGUUGUAAAGCCCUUUUGUUGGGAAAGAAAAGCAGCAGGUUAAUACCCCGCUGUUCUGACGUUACCCAAAGAAUAAGCACCGGCUAACUUCGUG